GUGGGAGGAGUCGGAGUGACCAGCCAGUAACCAGUAUGCAGUACAUGGAUACAGCCAACUGUGCUUCCUCAGAUCCCUGACCAUUAAGGAAAGAGCAGAAAGACACCAGCAGUGAAAUCAACACAAACUACUACACCAACAAUCACCUAUAUGGCAACAUAGAGGCUGAAGAGGAUGGCGACCCAUUCAAGUGUGAGGGUGGAGAUGAUUCAGUCUAUGGUAACGUGUGAACACAACAGGAAGCAUUUGGAAGUCAGCUGGCCCAGAGGCCAUGGUACUCAGUCUGUCAAAGAUUCCAGUAAAAUGUUAACAUUUUAACCCAAUGUAGCAGAACAGGUGACUGCUUUUAUUUGUUAGCUUGAUGUAGCUUUAUGGUUCUAAUGACAAAAGAAUAUGGUACAUUCUUAUUUGGCCUGUGGCUUUGUGUUAUAGCUUAUACAAGGCUUAUGUCUAUUAUCUGUGACUUGGAUAAUUCAAAAAUGUUUUUUACUAAAUGUCAUUUAUACACAAAAUACUAACCAGUAUUUAACUAUAUCUUGUUUCACACUUCCCAGCUGUGUCUUGAGGGUAAUCUGAGGAUAGAAUACGAGUCUGGGACUUUCAGUUUCUCCACUUGGGGUUGCUCUUUCAUUUAUUGAGAUUUUCAACGUCUGUUUAUUUUCAUAGGGUUUGAGUUAUUUCACACUACUGAUUUUGUCAAUAUACUGUCGCUUUAGGUUUUUUGACCCUCUAUAAGAACAUACCAGUAACAG